AUAAUGUGAAGGUUACUAUAGAACUGCCUUUCUUUUAUGCCUGCGACACUUAGGCCAACCGUUGCCACUAUGGUGAGCUGUUUGGUAAACUAGGGCUUCACUUUUUCCAUAUCCCGCUUUCUAACUCAGAACGCACUAAAAUCUAAAUCUCAAAAUAUUUUUCUUUUAAAAUUUCAAAUCCCUAAUUUCUCUCUUUUCACAAACAGAAUAUUAGAAAAUCCCAUUUCAUAUGAGUUCGAUUUCAACAAUCAAGCUUUGUUCAUUUUUAGAUUUCAACUAGUUUCAAUUACAUUGAAGUUCUUCAUUUUUAGAUUUCAAGGACGUUCAAUUUCAACUAGGUGUCAUUAAAUUUCUUCAUCUUUGGAUUCCAACGAGGUUCAAUUUCAAGGUGGUUCUUCAAUUUUUCAUUUUCAAGUUUCAUCGGGGUUUAAUUUCAACAAGGUUAGUUCAAUUUAUUUUAUUUUUGAAGUUGAUUCCUCUUCCCAUGGCUAUGGUUUUAUUGAUAAUUUUUAACAUAAGAACAAUUUUUAUUUUUCAAUGGCAUCGUAUCCUAUUUUGUUGUCGAGAUUGAAGGGUUUUCCAAGGCCGUAGUACCGUUCCCUGCACACCACCGCUGAAUUGUUUCUUGGGAACCACCGCGCCACAAAUUCUCCUUGACACUCCUGUGUCUAUCUGUCGCGUGGCCUCCGAACGUGUAAGGGUGUAUGUGUUUGUGUAUAUAUGUUAUUGUGUUGUGGUUGAUAUUUGUCCAAUGAGAAGUUUUUAUUUUCAAUAUUAAUCUAAGAUUGGAUUUUUUAUAUAAAUUGUUAUACAUUAAUUGUUUUUUUCCUGAGUUUCUAGCCGAUGAACUUAUUGGGUUGAUUCUGCAAUGUUUUUGAAUAUACAUUAUUGUUCACGUACCACACCUCAUUGCAAGUGCAAACUGGAUAUUUGGAGAACUAGACUCUUUUCAACCAAAGGUACAGGAAGUUUUUCCUCAUGCAAAGGUGGCUUGCUACAGACUCCAAUUUUCGGGGUUAAAUCAUUUGUCUUUUAGCUAAGUGUGGAGGAAAACAUAUGCGUGGUUUGAAAUGAUGGAGAUUUGGCUAUUGAAUCUCUUCCAAAUAUGAUUCAAGGUAAUCUUAAUUGCUAUUGAUACAAUCAUUGUUAUAAUUGGGUUUUAGGUGCAUAAAACAAAUUAGGAUGUCAUAUAUUAAUGUUCUUAAUACAAGUGAGAGGACAUAUAUACUACAUUUUUCUAUCUUAUUUUGAUUAGAAUUGAUUCUACUAUAAUUAUUUCCUUUUGAUUCCAAUUAAUUAUUUUUUUUCUUAUUGUUUUGAGUAUUGGAGUAUUCCUAUACUUCUUGUGAUUGAUGCACCGCAACUGAUUUGUUAGUCAAGGAAACAACAUAACAAUACUGAUUGUGGAUACUAUGUGAUGAAAAAUAUGUUGGAUAUUGUCUCUGCCAAUAUAACUGAAUCUUGGAUGCAGGUAUUUAAUUAUCCUACAGAAUUGACACAAGAAGAUUUGUAUGAUUUGCGACUCCGUUGGACAAAAUGUUUCUUUGAGUUAUAUAAAGGAUAACUUUAUGUUUCUCGUGGAUGCGUGUUGGUUUUUCAAGUGCGCGAAAGUACUUUAUGUUUCUUUGAGAUAAUUAUCUUGUAAUAGAAAAUCGUGUGUAAACCUUUCUUAUCAUUUUGAACACUUGUUUAUUCUAGAUUAAUAUUUUUGUAUAUUUUGACGAACAUAUAUAUGCAUCUUAGCUAUUUGGUCUGUGUGUUGUGAGUAUAAAAUAUAUAGCUCUUUGGUCUGUGUGGUAUAUGCAUCUUAUAUUGAAAAUUAGGUACAGAAAAAAUUACAAGUUAAAACAGGAA